AUGGAAUUGUUUUCCCCAACAAACUUAUUGUUUCAGAAAUCUAAGUUAUCUAAAAGUGAAGAAUUGUGACAACUUGAAAUAUAUAUUCACAAUUUCCAUGGCCAAAGUCCUCGUGAAUCUAAAAGAUCUAAUAAUUAGACAUUGCAAGAAGGUAGAAAAGAUUGUCACCAGGGAAAACGAAGAAGAAGAAAUCCAUUUGCCCCAAUUUCGCCGUGUCGUACUUCAUGAUCUUCCAAGUCUUGUGUGUUUCGGCCCUAACAUAAAUGAUACUCAAAUUCCAGCCGAUCAAUGCCAUCACCGUUUUCUCCCAAAUUUCCAGAUGGUUCAAGUGAGGCUGUGAUAGGAAUUGAGGGCAGUACGUUGGGGAUAUUCUGAUACAACCAUUGACUGAGGUUUGUGUGAUUGAAAUGGUAGAGCUGGGUGUUUGGAGUUUGUGUGUGGAAUAUUAUUUUAGCUGUUUGAGAUUACGACAUAGGCUAUGGCAAUGGGGAUGGCAAUGGAGUUAGAGAUAGCCAAUGAUAAUGACAAUGACGAUGACUAUUAGCGAUGCUGUUUAGAUUGCCAACUCUUCAAAGAAAAGGUAUAUAUAUUUUAGGAUAAAAUCCACUUUAUCUCCUUGUGGUAUGACCUUAAAGCACUUUGAUUUUGCACAAAGUUUAGCACACCUAAUUAGCUAGUAACCAAAUUUUGCUAUAUUGAUUUAAAUUUAUUUUGAGCCAAUGAAAACUCUUAAACCCAAAAUCCUCUAAUUUUAGUAGAUUAGGCUUUCAAGAGUAUAAUGGGCACAACUUGCUAUUCCUAAGUUUCCCUAAUUCUCUCCCUUCCAAUUCCUACCCAACCAACCCAGCAAGCUUCGACCUUUACUUAUAGGGGGCAGUACAGAAGAUUUGUCCACUCAACAAAGUUGAGCUUUUCAAUUCACUCUCCCUUAUGUGGGAACCCUCUUACCAAUAUGUUUCCUUUACGAAUGAAAAUUCUAAUUAAAUGACUCACAUAUGAAUGAAUUAGUGUCUUACUGGCCAUCUUAUUUAUUUAACCAACACUAGACCUGAUUUGACAUU